GACGGAGGGUGCAAGCGUUGUUCGGAUUGACUGGGCGUAAAGGGCGUGUAGGCGGUCGGCCAAGUCUGAUGUGAAAGCCCGAGGCUCAGCCUCGGAAGUGCGUCGGAAACUAGUCGGCUGGAGCGCGAUAGAGGAGGGUGGAAUUCCUGGUGUAGCGGUGAAAUGCGGUAGAUAUCAGGAGGAACACCGGCGGCGAAGGCGGCCCUCUGGAUCGUUGCUGACGCUGAUACGCGAAAGCGUGGGGAGCAAACAGG
rnacentral:rRNA from 1 species